UACGAGGGGGGCGAGCGUUGUUCGGAAUUAUUGGGCGUAAAGGGUGCGUAGGCGGCGCGGUAAGUCGGGUGUGAAAUCUUGGAGCUUAACUCCGAAACUGCAUUCGAUACUGCCGUGCUUGAGGACUGGAGAGGAGACUGGAAUUUACGGGUGUAGCGGUGAAAUGCGUAGAUAUCGUAAGGAAGACCGAGUGGAGCGGAAGGCGGGUCGUCUGGACAUGUUCCUGACGCUGAGGCACGAAGGCCAGGGGAGCAAACGGG
rnacentral:rRNA from 1 species